GAUCUGGUGUGGUUUGUGAUUGUGAUCACAAUGCUAAAGAAGCUCUACUAUUAUGGACAGAAAUAAUAAAGGUUUUAUGUGAGUGAUUAGUGUGGGACUUUUCUUAAUUAUGUUUAUAAUAUUUUGUUACAUAAUUAAGUAUGAAUCUGGUGGUGUUUUUUACUUUGGAUUAGUGUAAUGUGGUAUGUUGGUUACAUGUAAAAAAAAAAAAAGAAAAAAAAAAAAAAAAGCAAAGCUUAUUGAGAAAAAAAAAAUUGAGAAUUGA
rnacentral:lncRNA from 1 species